rnacentral:lncRNA from 1 species
CAAGCCUGGAAGAACUCGUCAUGCUCUUUGUAGCGUGGUGCUUCUGUUGCUCACAGAGGUGCCUGCUUCCCCUUCUGCCAUGAUUGGAAGUUUCCUGAGGCCUCCCCAGCCAUGUGGAACUGUGGCACCUUGACGAGGUCUUUUUAGAGCUCAAGGAUGGUCAGCAGAUUCCUGUGUUCAAGCUCAGUGGGGAAAACGGUGAUGAAGUGAAAAAGGAGUAGAGACGACCCAGAAGACCCAGCUUGCUUCUAGUCCAUCCUUCCCUCAUCUCUACCAUAUGGCCACUGGGGUGGUGGCCCAUCUCAGUGACAGACACUCCUGCAACCCAGUUUUCCAGCCACCAGUGGGAUGAUGUUGCACCUGGACUUGAUAUGAAAGUAACCAUCAGAAAAUCAACAGAGAUCUUAAACUUGCCUACCACAGACACCUGCAGGAAUAUACUAAGAAUCAUCAUAGUGGACCUUUAUUGUCUCCUGAGCACCCAUUCUUUGUUCUUUCAGAAACACAACUGGUUUUGAGAAUCCAUCCCUUCUUCACUCAGUCCACGUAAAGGUUAGGAUGGUAGAAAGUGUUAUACCUCUUCCUCCAGAGUUGGAGCCUAUGACACUGAUGACACUGGCAUGGAAAGCCAAAGCCCUACACCAACCAGCACACUUACUGGUUCCAAAUUGAUCUACGCUGGUGUAAUCAGAGUGAAUCUCAGAACUUUGGACAGAGCUGUGAGCAGAGACUGACUUUCCUGCUGUCUCCAGGUAGCUGCAAGGCUGAACAGCAGCACCUACUUUAUUACCAUCUUACUGUCAUUCAAAGAAGGCAGAGCUGAAUGCUGGAGAAAAACUGAGUACUAGCAACAGUUUUUGAACCCUGAAUACUGUCAUAACUGAAGCUAGAAUUAUCCCUGGACUUGUUUGCCACUAAAAUUUCCUUGUUUUGCUUACCCUGGUUUCAGCUGGCACCCUGAUCACUUGAAAGGAACAUAACUGAUAUACUGUCCUUUGUUUUUCUUUCCUUCCUCUUCUCCGCCUUUGAUGAUUUUAAAUUAGAAAUCUACCUGCCUCUAAUCUCUUUAAUUUUCUCAUUUAUUUACUGCUGCCUAUUUUCCAAAACACUGCUUCUCGAAUAUUCCUGGCUCAAAAAUCAUCUAUGUCUUCAUGACAUAUGAAACCCCUAGAAUCCAGCCUUUCCCCAGCUUUUAAUAUCUCCUAAUUGAUUUCUCAAUUCCAGUGAAAUGAUUCCAUUUAUUUUUUUCCCAAACACAUCACAAAUAUUCCUAACUCUUGUGAGCAAUUUUCUCUCAUUCUUCUCAACUUAUCUAAAUCCUAACUUUUCAAAAGAUCUAGCUCAAGUUCUGUCUUAUCAUAUUUUGAGUUCCUUUCUUUGGCAUUGUAUUAUUUUGUAUCUUUCCAUGUACACAUGUGUGCAUUAUCUCCCUGAUAAAACUAACUGGCUAGAGGAUAGGAGUAAAGACUCAAUUCUAAUAUCCUUGUUACCUAAUAAU